ensembl:snRNA U6 U6 spliceosomal RNA
GUGCUCACUUUGGCAGUACAUAUACUAAAAUUGGAAUGAUACAGAGAUUAGCACGGCCUCUGAGCAAGGAUGACACGCAAAUUCAUGAAGUAUUCCAUAUAAAA